ACACCAUGAUGUCAAUGUAUUAUAUGUGGUUGCCAAACUUUGCUUUAUAAUCUAGUUUUCCAUGUUUCGGAUAUACGCACAUUAUACAAGCAUUCGUAAAAUAUAUUACACAAAGUCACUUUACGAUAUAAAUUCUAAACAUUGUUACUUAUGGUCCUGGUCAGGAAAUAUGUCACAAAUACUCUAAAAGAUUAUAUGAUUCUAACUUCAAACUACAUUAACUGAUAAAGUUAUGUUGCACAUGUGUGAGUAUAAGUACUAACUGAUAUUCUAUUUGUAUGUUUUCACUUGACUGCCAGUUUUGUUAAUCGCUUGCUUGGAGUAAAAAGAAUAUCAGUAAAAAUGAGAAAAAAGCGUAAUUUUAUCCGUUGCAACCGUAAUAACUAGCGAAUCUAACAGUGAUUGGCAUAUCAUUUUCUUCUCCUUCUCCGAGACUUAAACAAGUUGGCCGAAAUCGAAACGUGCUGUUCUUUCAGUAUUUUUCCCGGAUUUUCUCGAUGCAGCUUGAAGUAAAUUGCAGUGAUGGAGAAAAAACAUACAACGAGCGGUAUCAUUGGAGAUGGAGUCAGCCAUGGAACCGGCACUCACAAUCAAAUUUCUGCAUAUUUGGAUAUUUAUCAUGCAUGCAUUUACUAGCUACACAUGCAAUGCUGAUUGAAUAAAGAUGAUU